AUGUUUGGUUAAUUGGGGUUGGGACUCUCAGUUGAAGGCAGGUGUUGUCUAUCUGCCUUUGAUUGAGAGUCCCAUAUAUGAGGGUGUGUUUGUGUUUGUUAUUUGUGGGUGAUUGUUCUGAGUUUAGCCUUGUGCCUUACCAGACUGUCUGUAUUUCGUUCGGUCACUUGUUUUGAUAUUUUGUACGUUCAUUUUGGAAGUUAAUAAAUCUCAAGAUGAGCAUACACAUA